AACGAACGCUGGCGGCAGGCUUAACACAUGCAAGUCGAACGGGUGCAGCAAUGCAUCAGUGGCAGACGGGUGAGUAACACGUGGGAACCUUCCUCGGGGUACGGAACAACUCAGGGAAACUUGAGCUAAUACCGUAUACGUCCGUGAGGAGAAAGAUUUAUCGCCCUGAGACGGGCCCGCGUCGGAUUAGCUAGUUGGUGGGGUAACGGCCUACCAAGGCGACGAUCCGUAGCUGAUCUUAGAGGAUGAUCAGCCACACUGGGACUGAGACACGGCCCAGACUCCUACGGGAGGCAGCAGUGGGGAAUCUUGGACAAUGGGCGCAAGCCUGAUCCAGCCAUGCCGCGUGAGUGAAGAAGGUCUUCGGAUUGUAAAGCUCUUUUGCCAGGGACGAUAAUGACGGUACCUGGAGAAUAAGCCCCGGCAAACUUCGUGCCAGCAGCCGCCGCGG
rnacentral:rRNA from 1 species